UCGAGCCCCCAACCGGUUGGAACCGGUUUGAUCCGGUCCCGUUUUGAAAAAAAACCGUUACGGAGCGUUUCCUCGGGUAUUUUCUUUCGUGUUUUUCUCACGGUGUGUGUUUUUCGUAAGUGCAGGUGAAAAUUAAUUAUUUUUGACCCUCGUUCCCCCUCCCCCCGGUAGAAAAGGCCGUUUUAAGGGGGAAACGCCGAAGAAUGUUCGAGAAGCCGCCACAUGGCGUCACAUGGGGUUGCUGCUGCGAUGACGUCAUUGGCUAAACUCGCAGAAGUUUCGAGAAGGUGAAGGCUGCGGGGGAGGGACCACUGUGGGGGCAAAGCGAUCAAAAGCCUCCUCUUGACCACAUCUAGUGACUGUUUGUCUAUGGCCUGAGUAAAAGCUCCACCCAAGAUGGGUGCAGCAUAGAACGAGGCCAUUCAGCCCAUUGGGGAGCAGUGCUGGCUCUUUAGGACAGCCAUCUUGUUAUCAGCCAGAAAGAGAAGACCACAUUCUCCGAGACGUUGGGUACGCAUGGACCUUGCUAAUGGGGAAAAUGUUCCACCUGGAAGCAAGUUAAAUUCCAGUGUGCUGAGCACACUGAAACCCGAAUCUUUAAUUCCGAAGGUGAAAGGAUUUGGCUAAAUCGAGAGAACGGGAGUUAAUUUAAUAUGCAAAACCUUACAGCAUUCAGAAAGAACAGGAAAAAUGAUGCAGCCAUAUAUACCAGAGACAGCUAACAGGAUGCAACAAUACUGUUUCUGAUUUCCACAGAAUAUAUGUAUUUAAUUUUUAUUUCAAUAAAACAAGAAAGGCAAUUAAGGAACUGAGAACCCUGGGACCAGUUGUUUCAUCAGAAGCUCAUUUAUAUUUAAUACAUUUUGAUGGAACGAAGAAAUUCCUUUGGAGGAAAAUGCUCAAAAUGAGGGUAAUAAAAACCUCCUUUGUGUUCUAGUUCUGAGGUUCUCAAACCUGGGGGUCUCGAGAUAUAAGAUUGUGAUAAAAGGAAGAAGAAAAACAGAAGAAACCUAACUUGCCAUGCCAAACUGGCACACCUGGUGGCAGUUUGUCUCACAAAAGAAUCAAAUCCAACUUGUCCACAAGUUACAUGAUCUUAUGUAACCAAUAAGUGAACACCGUGUAGCUUCAGUUUGCUCUGUGUCAAUAAAAACAAUUCAAUCUUC